UGACAUGAAUCACAGUUGUUUUCCCUGCCU
rnacentral:piRNA from 1 species